AAUAAAUGCAGCCAUGAGUUUCCGUGUCCAACUUUAAUCAUCCGUCUUAUUUGAUUUUUUUAUGAUUAGUAUUUUUAUCGUUACUGAAAUAUAAAACAUGAGUAGUAUUUUAUGUGUGACUUGUAUUUUUUUAGUUUUCCAAAAAAAAAAUUAAAUAAGACGGACGAUUAAAGUUGGACGCGGAAACUCGUGGCUACGCUUAUU
rfam:Oryza glumipatula chromosome 2, whole genome shotgun sequence.